UCUAAAUGGAUAUAUGUCACUGUGUAACAACGGAUAGCUUGGAUAGCACUGGAAUUCACACGACACGCUGUAAACAAAAGCAAAGCCGGGCUCAGGCGAGGAUGGCGCUCGCUCACUGGGGUGCUGUGUGCGCUCAGGACGCCUCAGGGUGCUGGGAACCAAUGAAGUCACGACGGAAGACGCUGCGCUUUAAAGUCUAGAAUUAGCACAUGCCGACUUGGCUCCACGUUAAAAUAAAAAACAAAAGUAGUUCUAAGAAUCUUUUGUAGAAAUCAUAGGCCUCCGCCAGGCCCCGCCUCUCCCCGGACGCCAUCCAGAGGGCCCAAGAGGGACUCCAGAACAGACUCACGGCAGCCAGAAGCGGCCCCGCCAACUGAAGCAACCCCUGCGGCGCGCCUCGGCAGCUCCGGAGCUGCACCCGCUCCUAGUGCGCAGGCGCAGAAAGCUCGCCGCCGUCCUCGAGCCGAGCCCUAGCGACCGUGCCCCGACUUCAGCCCUAACUGUGGGCAGUUUACUUUCGAACCGCGGCCCCGCGCUCUUUCUCAUUGGCUGAGGCGACGCAGUUGAAGGUUGCCGGGAGACUGCGCCUGCGCCUUAAGGCGCCUGAGCUCCGCCUCUUCUGAGCACCUGAAGGCCUCAGGGCAGAGGAGGGCGGGGACGCCAAGCAGCCCUCAGCACCGUCCGGUGGCCGUGCAACCCUGUUGCUGCUAGUGGAGUUGCCUGUUUCCCGUCCUCACGGUGAGUUUAAGGAGCUUUUCUUCGGUCCGAAAAGGCGGCUGUGGGUCCCUCCUCUUUGCUUGUAGCCCAGGCUGGUGUACGGUGUGUGUUUGAGGCUUGGUAAUUCAGAGGGCUGGCUUGGGUCCUGCGUCUCUUCCCUCUUGUCCGAGGUGAAGAGCUCGGGGACCUUGUUUUCCCUCCCGCCAGGAUGGAGCUGCCUUCCCGUGAGAGAGAAGGCCCUCUGUGGCGGGGUGGGGAAAGGGGCCGGGCUCCGCCGAGCUGAGUGACCGCUCGGGGGUCGGAGUGGAUGGAGGACGCCGAGGCGCGUUGGGAGAGAGGCCGGGAAGGAUUUGUCGGAAACCUUCGGGAAAGGGAAGGUGAAGGCCCUGGUGGUUGAGCCCCUUCUCUGGCAGAUGUUCUCACCGGAAUUAACGUUCUACACCACGGUAGGUGUAGUUACACCCAUCUUACAGAUGUGAAACGGCAGUUGGGAGAGGCACUAGGUAAAACACCUCCAGGGAUUCUCAACAUUUACGUGGCAGAACUGAGACAUUAACAGACGUACUGAUGGGAAUAACCGAAAUCAAGGUUUGUGAUUUUCAACUGGCAUAGCCUUUCACUCCUAUGAGUGCUUCUUGCCUUCGAGUUAACUCUCAGCAGUCCAACAUGACCCUGAAGGUUUACUCCGUCAUCACCAUUGUUAGCUAAUGUUUUCGAGAUACUUGACGCUAUAAAAAGAGGUCCUUUGUGACAGUUUAUUUGGUCACAGAUUUGUUGGGAUUUUCAAGUUACAGUGAUACCUCUCCUGCUACUCCACAGCUAUUGAUAUUUGUCACUACUUUAAAACACACACACACACAGUGAGGCUCAGGGAAGGUAAGUAUCAAAGAUAGUGAUAUUUCCUCUUGAGAAUUUGAAUCUAGAACAUUAAGAUAAAAUAAUUUUAUUUCAGAAUAAGGAUAAAAGAAUCCGAAAAAGUUAAAGAAGAUAUAUAUUCAGUCUCCAAACCAGAAAGUCAACUAAAUGGUAAGUUCUGGGAGAUUAAGUGAAUACCAAAGAGAUUUUCAGUAAAUUUUUAAACUGUAAGGUGAUUUAAAUUUUUGAAUCUUUUUAAAAAAAGGAAUGCAUGUUGGUGGUAUGUAAAAUUCGAACCAUGUAGAAGGAUCUUGAAAUGAAAAGUAAACAACUNNNNNNNNNNNNNNNNNNNNNNNNNNNNNNNNNNNNNNNNNNNNNNNNNNNNNNNNNNNNNNNNNNNNNNNNNNNNNNNNNNNNNNNNNNNNNNNNNNNAAAAUUCGAA
rnacentral:lncRNA from 1 species